CCUGAGGAAGCGUUUUGCCUACGUGGACAGAAAUCGCUCCCUCAAGGGCGCGCUUUAUGUCCAAGUAGGCAAAACGCUUCCCCAGGG
rfam:Gossypium raimondii Chr10_contig_1157, whole genome shotgun sequence.